rnacentral:rRNA from 1 species
CCAAAAACAUCUCUCUUUGUAUAAUAUAAAUAAAGAGUUGGGCCUGCUCGGUGAAACGUUUUAACAGCUGCGGUAUUUUAACUGUACUAAGGUAGCAUAAUAAUUUGCCUUAUAAUUUGAGGCUAGAAUGAAUGGUUUGACGAAGGUUAAUCUGUCUCUGCUUUAUUUUUUAGAAAUUAAUUUUCAUAGUGAAAAAGCUUGAAUUUCUUAAGGGGACGAGAAGACCCUACUGAGCUUAUAAUUUUAUUAUCACAUAUAUUUAUGUAUAAUGUGCUAUAUAAAUUUUAAUUGGGGUGAUUAAGGAAUAAUAUAGCUAUUUUAUAACUUCCUUAGAUAUUAUAUUGUUGAAUUAAGUAACCGAUUAAUUAAUAGAAUUGUAUUAUGUAUUGCUUAUAAUAUAGUUACCAUAGGGAUAACAGCGUAAUUUACUUAGAGAGUUCUUAUUGAAAAGUAAGAUUG